rnacentral:rRNA from 1 species
UACAGAGGUCUCAAGCGUUGUUCGGAUUCAUUGGGCGUAAAGGGUGCGUAGGUGGCGUCGUAAGUCGGGUGUGAAAUUUCGGAGCUUAACUCCGAAACUGCAUUCGAUACUGCGGUGCUUGAGGACUGGAGAGGAGACUGGAAUUUACGGUGUAGCAGUGAAAUGCGUAGAGAUCGUAAGGAAGACCAGUGGCGAAGGCGGGUCUCGUGGACAGUUCCUGACGCUGAGGCACGAAGGCCAGGGAGCAAACGGG